rnacentral:piRNA from 1 species
UAUGCCCUUUGUCUCUCAUGUGU